GACGAACGCUGGCGGCGUGCCUAAUACAUGCAAGUAGAACGCUGAAGAGAGGAGCUUGCUCUUCUUGGAUGAGUUGCGAACGGGUGAGUAACGCGUAUGUAACCUGCCUUGUAGCGGGGUAUAACUAGUGGAAACGAUAGCUAAUACCGCAUAACAAUGUAUGACACAUGUCAUUUAGUUGAAAGGGGCAAUUGCUCCACUACAAGAUGGACCUGCGUUGUAUUAGCUAGUAGGUGAGGUAACGGCUCACCUAGGCGACGAUACAUAGCCGACCUGAGAGGGGGAUCGGCCACACUGGGACGGAGACACGGCCCAGACUCCUACGGGAGGCAGCAGUAGGGAAUCUUCGGCAAUGGGGGCAACCCUGACAGAGCAACGCCGAGUGAGUGAAGAAGGCUUUCGGAUCGUAAAGAUCUGUUGUAAGUCAAGAACGAGUGUGAGAGUGGAAAGUUCACACUGUGACGGUAGCUUAAAAGAAAGGGACGGCUAACUACGU
rnacentral:rRNA from 1 species